CCUGCAGGAAGGAGCAGCGAGAAGGGGAAGAGAAAGAGAAGCACGUGAGUGGGUGAUGACCAAGCCUGUCCCGUGUUGCACAGAGAAGGUCAAGGUGAGAAGCCAGAGCCCUGCAUGCAGAACAGACUGAAGAGACACCAACGGGUUAAUCAGAAGAAUCACACAGAAUAAACCGUUCACUACUGAUCCAACGGAUUUUAAUCAGGUGUUGUCACUGUAACUUCACGACUCUGUCUGUCCCAUCCUCGGUGUACCCGCUCUCCCAUGUCCCUGGGAAAGCCAGUCCUGCUGUGUUUCACUUGUGCUUGGAUCAUCCUGGACAUGCUUACGGAGGUCAUCGGCCACUUUCUUUGGGCUGGUAAGGUUUAGAUUUUAUGAUCUGUGUUUCUUUCCGGUGUCCAGUGACACUGACCUUCCGAAGCCGUUACAUGACUAGUCUUAGAGAAGGCUGCAGACUCUGCUUGUUCUGCCUGGAAUCUAACCCCUGAGAGUACAUGGGCAAAGAAACCAGCACAGCCACUGACCCUCGGCCAGCUUUCUGGUUCAGCAGCUUGGGUCUCCAUCCCAGUGAGAGAGUUUGGCUGAGGUCUUGAUUCACCACUGUUAAAUCAGUAACAAUCACAGGAUAAGGAACUGUACUUUUUUUUUUUUUUUUUUUUUUUUUUUUUUGGCGCUCACCAGAGAUGAAGACUUCAGUGUGGAAAACAUCACCAAGUGGUGGGCUGGAAGUUAGUGCUCACAGCAAAUGUGUGACUUCUGUCAGAGAGCUACAAUAGGAGGAUUCACAAAUCUGCAAGUUCCUAACUUUAGAAAGCUAAGGCUCCUAUGAAUAAGUCCCCGAUCAGUCUCAAAAGCUAUGAGCAGACUGCAUGGUGAAAGAAAGAUCCCAGGCCAGUCUGCAAGUUUUAGGGAGGCUUGAAAGGGUUCCUGUACCAUACAGUGAGCAGCCCCAUCUUCCCUGGAAAAUCCAAACAGCUCAGUUUUGGUAGCUAUCACCACAGAAACCAGAGCUGAGCAACUGUUUUGAAAAUAACAGUUUGCGAUUUCUCACUACUCCACAUGAAAUUUGAAAAUUGACAGGCCUACAAAAAACCACUGAUAUUACAGUGGUGAUAUUACAGCCUAUUCCAACAUCCCAAGAAGGUCGUCAUCUAUCUGACUGACAGAAGCACCAUAUAAGUGUGAGUCAAGCGAAGCACACACGUCUGUAAUUAGGCAAGUUCUCAGAACACAAUUCUAGAGCAGUCACUUACCUACAGGCCCUGUAUCCUAUCCUUAAUCCUAUGAGGCAACCAUGUCCACUAGUUAAAAAGUAAAUACCUAAAGUAGUAAGGGAAACGGGAAACAAAAUUACUGAGCUCUUCAGAAUCUGACAAGAGGACAUCAAAUAGGAAGCCAGUAAGAACUACAGGAGACCAGUCCCUGGGCUUGAUUGAUGAUUCUGGUCAAUCUAUCAAAGGGUAAAGUCAUAGAACAGGAACACACAGAAAAUGUGCUUCGGUCAGUCUUUGUCCAGACAGACAAUUGUUGUCUUUCUAAUCACUGUCUGAAUCACUUUUGGGAUGAAGCAGAGGUUUUUAAAGUCUAUAAUGGAGAGUAAAUCCUACCGGCCAGAGCCAGGGAGCUGUAAACUGAUUUUUCCAUAGAACCGUUUCUGGUCUGUGUGGUGAGAUGGUUCUGCCUCACGCACAUCUUACACCAAGAGUGUGGUUCAGUGUCAUCUGCGAAAAGUGAAGGUGACAGCCAGAGGCUCAGCUGACAUGGCCCCUGCUGGGUAGAAGCUCUGAGGGCUCCAGGGAGAAGCAGGGAGCCAGGGGCAGCCACCUGGUCCACAUACCUGGAGCUCUGCCAUUAUUUUGUCUCCUUCUUCUUCCUCCUCCUCAUCGCCCUUUGAAGAAGCGGUAAUGACUGGCGGUGGGGUCGGGGUCCAGGACGCGGUGGGCUCCUCUGUGGGGCAUUUUGUGGCUCGACUCUGUGGGCUUGGGCCAGCAUCAUCACCACUUGCCUGUGAAGAUUCAAGCAGCAAACUGGCUUAACAGGCCCCAGGCGUGGGGAAAAGAGAGACAGAUCAUGCGGCCCCCACUGUCUGUUCCACUGGCUUCCUGCUCUUUAUGUCUAGCCAAGGAGGCUAUUUUAUUCCCUUGCAGUUUUUAUUCCCUUGGAAUUAUUGUUUAAAUUGUCAUUUUGGUGACUGGAUUGAAGAAUUUUAAUAAAACUAUAAUUCCUCAA